rnacentral:rRNA from 1 species
UACGGGGGGUCCAAGCGUUGUUCGGAAUCACUGGGCGUAAAGCGCAUGUAGGUGGCUUUUCAAGUCAACUGUGAAAGCCCAGGGCCUAACCCUGGAAGUGCAGUUGAUACUGUUGAGCUUGAGUACGAGAGAGGAUAGUGGAAUUCCUGGUGUAGUGGUGAAAUACGUAGAUAUCAGGAGGAACAUCGGUGGCGAAGGCGGCUAUCUGGCUCGAUACUGACACUGAGAUGCGAAAGCGUGGGGAGCGAACAGG